rnacentral:rRNA from 1 species
GACGUAGGGCGCGAGCGUUGUCCGGAUUUAUUGGGCGUAAAGAGCUCGUAGGCGGUUUGUCGCGUCUGCUGUGAAAUCCCGAGGCUCAACCUCGGGCCUGCAGUGGGUACGGGCAGACUGGAGUGCGGUAGGGGAGAAUGGAAUUCCUGGUGUAGCGGUGGAAUGCGCAGAUAUCAGGAGGAACACCGAUGGCGAAGGCAGUUCUCUGGGCCGUAACUGACGCUGAGGAGCGAAAGCGUGGGGAUCGAACAGG